rnacentral:lncRNA from 1 species
GCUGAAUGUAUCAAGGGACAAGUGAAGUAUCACAGACAGAAAUGAAGUAAAAGAGGAAAUGAGAUGUGUUAAGUCUCUGAAAUUGACAGAAAGAGACAGAAUAGUCUUGUCGGGGAACCUGUUGAAGAUUCAGGAGUUGAGAAAUAUGUUUAGAGAUUCUCAGGGCCAAAAAUGUGCUUAGAGGUCAAACACAGGAAAGCAACUUGGAUGAUUGGAGACCCUGUUCAAAGAUGACCUCCUUUGUGACAACUUUCAGGCCCCAGAGUGAGUUGUUGUUGCCUCAGUGCCCUCAGGCUCUGAAAGUGCCUCUUCCUGCCUGGACCACAGCAUGCAGCACACCGGUUGAUGAACACCUGACCCCAGGUCUACUCCUCCACCAGAAGACGGCUUCAACAGCAGUAAGAAGAAGGAAUCGGAGGUGUGCGAGGCAAGAAUCAAAGAGAGCAGCUAGAAGAUGUUUGCAGUAAUCCAAGUAACCAUGAUCAAAGUCUGGGCGGAGACAGUGGCCGGGGAAUCAGACAGAAAGAUCCACUUCUACUGAUAUUUGAGAAAGAAUCGAUAGAACAUGGUGAACACUUGGCUUAGGGUAAGGUAGAAGGAGAAAUUAGGUUUCUGGCUGGAGUCACUAAAUAAGUGGAAACUGUCUUUAACAGAGACAUGGAUUGUUACAGAAUAACGUCUACCAAUUUGAGUGGAAAGGGUUGAGGUCAGACUCAACCAUGUUACAUUUCAGGUACAUUUCCCUGCCUGUAAGCCUUCCUAUCUCUUAUUUCAUACUCUCUGACUGUCACUUUAUGGCCAUGCUGUAGUAAAUACCCUUAUGUCUAUUCCUUUAGCAUUUCGGUGUGAUUUUUUUUUUUUCAGUAUUUCCCUUGGUUUUAAUCCCCUAUGUAUGUGCAUCUUGAAUCUUUUUUUUUUUUUUUUUUUUUUUUUUUCUGAGAUGGAGUCCUGCUCUGUCACCCAGGCUGGAGUGCAGUGGUGUAAUCUCAGCUCACUCCACCUCCCAGAUUCAAGUAAUCCUCCUGCCUCAGCCUCCUGAGUAGUUGGGAUUACAGGUGCCCACCACCAUGCCUGGCUAAUUUUUGUAGAGACGGGCUUUCACCAUAUUGGUCAAGCUGGUCUCAAACUCCUGACCUUAGGUGAUCCACCUCUCUCAGCUUCCCACAGUGCUGGGAUUACAGGCGUGAGCCACCACGCCUGGCCUAUGCAUCUUGAAUCUUAUUGGAGAGUUCAAUAUCCAUUUAUGCCCCAAGUCCUCUACUUUUGGGCACCCUCUGGUGCCCAGCACUGUGCUCAGAUCAUAGAAAAUGCUAUCCCCACCCUGCUGUCAAGGCCGCAGGAAGAGCCAGCAUCAGAAGCCUAGGAGAC